UACAGAGGUGGCAAGCGUUGUUCAGAAUUACUGGGCGUAAAGGGCGCGUAGGCGGCCAUCUAAGUCAGACGUGAAAUCCCCCGGCUUAACCUGGGAACUGCGUCUGAUACUGGAAGGCUUGAGUAUGGGAGAGGGAUGUAGAAUUCCAGGUGUAGCGGUGAAAUGCGUAGAUAUCUGGAGGAAUACCGGUGGCGAAGGCGGCAUCCUGGACCAUUACUGACGCUGAGGCGCGAAAGCUAGGGGAGCAAACGGG
rnacentral:rRNA from 1 species